GGUAGACCUGCUGGACGGGCAGCAGGGCCAGCCUUCCUCCCGGGCCCCGCCGGCUGGCGAGGGGCGGGCGCUGCAGUGCAUGCCGGGAGCUGUAGUUCGGCGUGGGAAACGCUCCGACUCAGGCGUGACGCGUCGUUAGAGACGGGCGGUUCCGCCAGGGGCCGCUCCUGACUCUCAGGGUUUGGUAUCCGGGCGUUGUCUUCAGCGUUAUCGCACUUCACCUGCUAUCCUGCCGCUCUCGGGGGAACCCACCAGCACUACCAGAGGCCAUAACCCACCAUUUCCGAGGGAAAAAACCAUCACUGAGAACCAAAACGCUCUGCCUGACCCUGGAGAAUCAACCUGGCCUCUCAAGUCUCUGCAUCCUCCACUGCACUGUGCAUAACUAACACUCUUGGUAAGGUCACGGUAAAAAGCAAAUGACAUAAGGGACAUGAAAGUGCCUCCUAAGCUAUGACAUGCUAUAAAAAUUAUUCAAAUACAACAGUAAAAGCCACUUAAAGUGUGUUUAUGGUACCUGCACUUCAUCAGUCAUGGUAUUUAUAUUUCCAGUCAGGUUUUGGUGUUUAUCAGUAUACAUAAGAUUAUCUGGCCAAUUUAAAAACUUACUACAAGCUACGGUAAUCAAGACAGUGUGGUAUUGGCAUAAGGACAGACAUACAGGCUAAUGGGACAGAAUUGAGAGUCCAGAAAUAAAUCCGUAUAUUUAUGGCCAACUAAUUUUCAACAGGGGUGCCAAGACUAGUCAGUGGGGAAAAGGACAGUCUUCCCAACAAACAGUGCUGGGACAAAAGGAUAUCCACAUGCAAGAGAAUGAAGCUGGAUCCCUCCCUCAUGGCGUAUAUAAAAAUUAACUCCAAAUGGAUCACAGACCUAAAUGUAAGAGUUAAACCAUAAAAAUCUUAGAAGAAAACACAGAUAUAAAUCUUCAUUAGGCAAUGAUUUCUUAGACAUGACACCUAAAAUACAAGCGACAAAAGAAAUAAUAAAUUGGGCAUCAUCAAGACAGUGAUUAAAAGGACAUCACUGAGAGACUGAAAAGAGAACUCAUAGAAUGGGAGAAAAUAUUUGCAAAUCAUGUAUCUGAUAAGGGAUUUGUAUCUAAAAUAUAUAAAGAACUGUUACAAUUCAACAAUAAAAAAACAAUAAUCCAAUUUAAAAAUGGGCAAAGGAUUUGAAUAGAAAUUUCUCCAAAAAAGAAAUACAAAUGGACAAUAAACAUACGAAAAGAUAUUUAAUAUCUACUGGCCAUCAGAGAAACAAAUCAAAACCACAAUGAGAUACCACGUCACACCUACUGGGAUGGCUAUAAUCAAAAAGACAAAUAACAGGAAGUGUUGGCAAGCAUGUGAAGAAAUGUGAACCCUUACAUGCUGCUGACGGGAAUGUAAAAUGGUGCAGCCACUUUGGAAAACAGUUUGGCAGUAGUUCCUCAAUGGUUAAACGGAGAGUUACAUAUGACCCAGCAAUUUCACUUUUGGGAAUAUACCCAAGAGAAAUGAAAACAUACGUCUAUACAAAAACUUGUACACAAAUGUUCACAGCAGCAUUAUUCAUAACAGCCAAAAAGUUGAAACAAUCCAAAUGCCCACCAGUAAAUGAACAGAUAAGCAAACUGUGAUAUAUACAUGUAAAAAAAAAAUUCCAUUACAUAUACAUGUAAUGGAAUAUUAUUCAGUCAUAAAAAGGAAUGAAGUAGUGAUACAUGCUACAACAUGGAUAAACCUUAAAAACAUUAUGCUAAGUGAACGAAGCCAGACACAAAAGGUCACGUAGUAUAGGAUUCCAUUUAUAUGAAAUAUCCAAAACAGGUAAAUCCACAGAGAAUGCAGAUUGGUAGUUGCCAGGAGCUGGGGGAGAAGGGAAUGGGGAACAACUGCUUAACUGGUGAAAAUGUUUUGGAACCUGAUAGAGGUGGCAGUUGCACAACACUGUGACUGUACUAAAUGCCACUAGAUUGUUCACUUUAAAAUUAUUAAUUUUAUUUUAUAUUAAUUUCAUGUCAAUAAAAAAAAAGUAAAAGUCAAUUCAAUAAUGACCAAAAUCAUGGAUUUGUGGCUGACUUUCUUUAAAGCGCUCAGUCAAAACCAAGAUAAAGGGGUUAUUUAUUCUUUUUUUUUAAAUCUCCAGGGAAGGUGAAUCCAUACUCACCCCUAAAAUAUUCCAAUGUACAAUAUGGAGCCAGCAAAGUAAUAUAAAUUUCUUCUUUUUGCACUUCAGAUACACACUUCCAACUAUCUGCUAUAUAUUUCUACUUAUAUACCUCAUAGGUAACCCACAAUCAACAGGUACAGAGCCAAGUUUAUUACAUAGUGGACAACUGUUACUUUUUGGCUGAACAUCUACUCCACCUUUUUUUGGUAAUAGCAACCUGAUUUCUUUGUGAAUUACUUCUUCCCCCAGAUACAGUUUUAAUCAGGUGCCUCUCAUCCCCUAGCCGAGGGAUCAGCGAUGCAGGAAUGAAAGGCAAGGAGGUGGGAAGAAGGGAGUCCAAUGCCCCCUCUUGUAAAGUAGAUGGUGCGCAACAAAAACAAAAGAUGGCUGACAUUCACUCACUCCAACAGCAGUGUGCCAGCCAGCUGAUUAGCCACUCCUGACUGUUCUAAGUCUAGCUCUUCAGUCUUUGAUUUGAACCUGCGAGCACCCAUAAUACUCCAGUAAAUACACUUAAGUUAGCCAGUGUCUGUUCUCAUGUAACCAUUCGGUUAUAGACUGAUCUGUGCCCCACCUCCAAAUAUGUGUUGUAAAUCCUAACCCCUGUACCUGUGGAUGCUAUCCCCAUUUGCAAUCAGGCUUUCUUUGUUAUGUUAAUGAGGCCAUUAUCACUGUAGGGUAUGUCUUAAGCCAAUCACUUUAGGUAUAAAAAAAGGAAGAUUAGGCACAGAAGCAGGCACAGAAGGGGGGGGAAGACAGAUGCCACACCACAUGAAGAUCACCAAGGAACUGAGAAACAGAAGGUGAAGAGAGACAGGGACCCUCCCCCAGAGCAGACACAGAGCCUUCGCCUAGAGCCAGCACCCUGAAUUCGGACUUCUAGCAUUCUAAACUGAGAAAACGAAUUUCCGUUCAUUAAAGCCACCCACUUGUGGUAUUUCUAUGGUAGCAGCACUAAGAAACCAUGACACAUUCUUUUCAUUCCAAUUGUCAUUAUCCUAAAUCAGAAACUCGUUCUCUCUCAUUCAUAAACAGUCACCAAGCAUGUUUUUCUAAAGCACGGACCAGAUUGCAUCUCUCUCCACUGAAAUAACUUCUGUGUCUUCUCCACAGGUCUAGCAUUAUAGGCCUUCCAUGAUCUAUGUUUCUUCCCAAUCUUAUUUCUAGCUACAAUUCCUUCUCUAAAAUUUCAGGUUCUUUCAACAAAAUCUUCUUAAAAUUUUGAUCUUACAUGAUGCCUGGGACUUUCUACAAUAGUAUGAGAGGAGAAAAAUAUGGGAAAGGGGUAGUAGAUGAGAACGAAUUGGCCAUGGGUUAAUGGCUGUUGAGGUUGUAGAUUAUGGGUAUACCAAAAUACUCAUUGCUGUCGAGACAUUCUGACUCACAGCAACUUUAUAGGCAGGGACAAUUACCCAAUAAGGAAGGUACGCACGGUAUGCUUACUCUCUAAUCUAUAGUACACAAUUUACCUGUUUUUCACCACAUCUUUGAUCUGGUAAAACCCAUGUGAAAUUGUGCACUGCAGAUUCAUAAGUAAACAUAAUUAAGUCUGUGUAUACCUUUUUUUUUUUAUACCUUAGUUACUGUAAAUCAGUGUGGACCAUGCUUACUGGUUAAUCCUAUACCUAUAGGGCAGAGUAGAACUGCCCCACAGCGUUUCCAAGGCUUAAAUUUUUACAGAAGCAGGCUGCCACAUCUUCCUCCCACGGAGCAGCUGGUGCGUUCCAAUAGCUGACCUUUCAGUUAGCAGCUCAGUGCUUAACCAGUGCGCCAUCAGGGUUCCUUAGAUUAUGGGUCUAUGGGAGUUCGAUAUGCUGUUCUGUUUACUCCUGUGUAUACUCAAAAUUCUUUAUAAAAAAAUUUUAAGCCUUAGUCAAAAAGUAAGUUCAUAUUGAUCAGACAGGGAUCACAAAAGAGGGUGCUGGACAGAGCUGGAGAAAAAUUUAGAACAAAAUCCUAACUCACAAAAAAAGACCAGAAUUACUGGCCUGACAGAGACUGGAGAAACCCCAAGAGUAUGGCCCUCUGAUACCAUUUCAGCCCAGUAAUGAAGUCACUCCCAAGGUUCACCCUUCAUCCAAAGAUGAGACAGGCCCAUAAAACAAAAUGAGACUAAAGGGGCACAUUAGCCCAGGCACAAGGACAAGAAGGCAGGAGGGGACAGGAAAGCUGGUAAUAGGGAACCCAAGGUUGAGAAGGGAGAGUGUUGACAUGUCCUGGGGUAGUUAACCAAUGUUAUAAAACAAUUGUUCUGUAAACCUUCAUCUUUAAAGUAUAGUUAAAAAAAAAAAAAAGUGAGUUCAUAGAUACUAUUUUAGUCCUGAGGGCAAACAAUACAGAAAUACAGAUUCGAAUUCUUUGUAAUGUAAAAAAUAUAGUCCAAAAAGAAACAAAAAACUUGAACUGACAUAAAAGAUAAAAAGAAAACAAACAACCAAAAGCAUAAUCAUCAAUAUAAAAUAUGGUAUGAAUAAAAUCAAACCUAGCAGUUACGAUUGAAAAUGUGAAUGGGUCAAAUAAAAAUGUAAAAACCCUAGAGCCAAGAAACAAAAGCUAUUGUUAGGCCACGUACUUUUUAAAAAGGGUACAGUAUACUAGACAAAUCCAAGCUAUUUCCUUUGGGCAAUAAAAUUCCAUCUUUAGAAACAGAUACAUCCAUACCUGAAAUGUUUCCCACUCAGAAUCUCAAGGCCUUCCGUUAUAGCGCAGUACAGGCUGGUCUGGGCCCCCUGCUGAGGGGUCUUCAAAAAGAAGGAGAAAAGCCACCACAUCCACGUCAUGAAAGAUGAGUAUCGAGUCAAUUCAGAGUUGACUGUGCCAGGGUGUACAGAAUAUGUUGUCACCCCAGAGCCUGGUCGGGGGGUGACAGGUAGAGAAACGACAGGACUUGAUGUUGCUGACCAGCCGAAGACAGCAGAGAACAUGAAUAAACAUGUGGCCCCCACACGUGGACUCCUUGCCCAAAGCAACAUCGCAAGUACUCACAGUAAUUUAUACCCCCAUUUCAAAGAUCAGGAAGUUAAGGCUCAGAGAGGUCAAUAACUCUGUUAGGAAGCAGCAGAGCCAGGACUUGACCUCUCAGGUGGACAUGACAUUGUUGGCUGCUCCCUUCUUAGAGCCUUCUUUUCUGUCUUUUGUGACCCUUCACCUUUUCUGGUUUUCCACACCUUUCUAGCUGCUAAAUCUCAUUUUCUUCAACCAGUUCAUCAUCUUCUACCCAAGCUUUAAAUGUUUGGAGUUCUCAUGGCUCACUAAACUCCCCUUUUAUAUACAUUUAUACAUUCAUGGCCUUCACAUUUUUAACUACAGCCCAAAUCUCUCCUUUAAGUCUAGACUAUCAGAGGCAGCAUAAUCUGGUGGUUAAGGGCAUGGACUUUGCAACCAGACUGACCAAUUUCAAAUCCCAGCUCUACCACUCCCUUCUACACAGUCUGGCCAUGAGGAAAAAGCCUUAACUUGUUCAUGAGCCCUGAUUUAAUGAGAACAAUAGCCAGUGAAGUAGUCCUGUUUUACAUAUGAGGAAAUAAAUCUUGAAAGUUAAGUAAUUUGCUAUAGGUCACACAGUAAGUAGUAAAGCCAAGCUUUCAGACUCAGUCUGAAUCUCCCCAUCCCCUGCAGCCCACUUCCAAUCUUCAGUUACUAAAAGCAGGCCCAGUUGUAGUCAUGGAAGCAGGUCCUGUCUAGGUAUUGGGCUCCAGAAGAAUUUUCUCUCUCUUUGGCUUCUGACUACUCCCAAUGGCUCAUAUCUCCACACUCAUUUCUUCCAAACCUACCUUUCAGCCUCCGGGCCAGUUCCUGGGUGAAGAGAAUGUUGGCCAACUUGCUGUUACAGUAGGCCAAACCGUCACUGUAAAAUUUCUCACUCUGUAGGUCAUGGAAGUGGAUCCUUCCCAGGUGAUGUGCUAAGGAAGACACAUUCACUACUCUUGAUGGGGCCGAUUCCUUCAAUUUCUCUAGCAGCAGGUGGGUCAGGAGGAAGUGACCUGUGAGCGGAAAAAACUAGAAUUAACAGAGUUCAGGGCUGACGUGCAAGGAGGGGUAGAGGAAAAGGGCUCAGCUAUGGAACAAGGUCUUUCACCUCAACGUUUCAUUAUCAACUAGAGAACAAGUAUAGUGAGCAUUUCGGGAAACAGGAAUAGCCAAAGACACAAGAUUCUUCCUUAUAUGGAGAAGGUCUGGAUUAUGUGAGAUCUGACAUCUGGUCUCAUUCCAACUUUGGUUAACAUCACAUUUUAAGAGCAUGACACCUCUGCUUGAUGCUGGCACCAGACCACUACUCAGAAGGCAACACAACUCCCGAUUCAAUUAGGUUGUUCAAAAAACGUCUGAGGAUAAACCGAAUCAGAAUCACAGAUGGAAACGUAGGUAGGACCUCAAGUGAUCCUCAAGUUCAUCCCUUAGCUUCUAGGCAGGACCAUACUGUUAUUCACAUAUGGUCUAUUAUAGUCCUGAGACCCAAUCACAUCACACAAACAAGGCUCAAUCUGACCCUUAGGUUUUCUAAAGAGAACGUUAGGUUCCCUCUAUCUUUCUGAUGAGGCCAGAUCUCUUACCCAAGUGGUUGACUCCCAUGUGCAUCUCAAAGCCAUCUGCUGUCUUGGAGUAGGGACACAUCAUCACUCCUGCAUUGUUGAUCAAAAUAUGAAGCUGCUUUUCCUCUGCAGGGAAGACGAGAUGGAGUGUGGGAGUGGUCAACCAUGGCUGUUACAUCUUGGAAAUCUGCCCUCUGCUCAAGCUUUGAAAAUGAGGAUACGGGACUUCAAUCUUUCCUCCAUUUUCCCUUUAUACUUAUUUUGUAUUGUCUUUCAUCUUAAAGACUUCAGUCAAAUUCUAUAUACUUUUACUACAGGACAAUAUUCCAUUUUAUACUACCGAAUGGCCUUCUCAAUCUUUCUCACUGAGGAGCUACUCACUGUUUCUGGUAAGUGUUCUGUGCACCUCUCCCAAAAUAAAGACUUCUCAAGCUGAAAGGGAAGAGAGUCCAAAGGAAGAGAAAAGAGGACAUUCUGUAUGCAGCCUUGCCACUGGAAUUCAGUCCCCCCACCUGCAUAGUAGUUUUGCCUCUUUGUUGUAUCUGCUGACUCUGUCAUGGUUCAUUUUCUCACGUGGUUUGUAAUUUCAGAUUAUAAGCUCAUAUCGUAGAAGCUGUUUUCCCUCAGAAGCCAAGUUCCCUGGGUUAUGAGGGGGUAUGCUGACAGAGUGCCCUUGGAUUUGCUUCUGCUGUGAUAAUCUGUCCUAUGCCUGGGCUUUGAAAAUGCGGAUGUGGGACUUCAAUCUUUCUUCCAUUUUCCCUUUCUACUUACUUUGUACUGUCUUUCAUCUUAAGACUUUGGUCAAAUUCUACAUACUUUACUACAGGACAAAAUUCCACCUUACACUGCCAAACAGCCUUCCCAAUCUUUCUAAUUCAGGAGCUACUCACUGUUUUUACAUUGAUUUCUCAGUUCAAGAUUCUCACAUCGGUGGUGGUGUGAAUUCACACCCCACACCUGAUGUUACCUUGAGAGUCUAACUUUUUGCUGAUGGCCUUUGAUUCAUCUAUGCUCUGAGGAGAUGGUGCGCUUUUUUGUCAUAUCCCUGUGCUGGUGGCCAGUUUUUCUAGCCCCUAUCUCAUGGACCAGGUGGCCCUUUGUGAAUCCCAACCUAAUGUGGAGCCUCAGCUCCAGCUCUCCAGCUCUCAGAAGCCUGAGGCCUCAUCCCCUGUCCUUGUGUGGGUGUUUGGACCUGGACACUAAACCUAAAGGCCUAUUUUGAGUUCUGAUACUCCUGUGAGAUUUUCCACUUCAGCUAUUGCUCAUUGCUAUGGCUUUUUAAAUUCUCUCACUCAUUUUGCUUUUUGUGUAUUGGAUUCUAUUUAUUGCGGAUAUGUAAAAGUGUGUAAACACGUACAUACGCAUAUAGAAACGAAAGAUUUAAGAGAAAAUAAGAAUUUAUAAAAUAAAAACUUUAUGGAGAAUGAAGCCAAGUUAAAUAUAGUGGUUCCAACACAAAUGUAUCAGGCAAAAUUAAACUAAAAGCUGAAACUAACUUCUGAAAGAAAAGAUACAAAAUAACAGUAAUAUAGUGACAGCAACAUGGGCACUACUUCAAGAUUUAAUUGGAGAGGACCUGGAAAUAAAAAAACAUAAAAACACAGAUUAAAAAAAAAUAUGAGUAAGAAGCAGUACCUAAAGUUAAAAUUUUCAUGCUCUAUGAAGAUAUACGUUUUUAGUCAAAUGAUAAGGAAGAAUGCCUUGCAAAUCAUGGUAGUAGCUGAUCCAACUUUUAGAAAUAGAUUUAAUCACAAAAGACAAAAAGGAGUCACGGAGAUAUAUGAAAACGAGAUGGCAAUACACAUAAAAAGUGAUUUGUUAAUUCAAAGGAUACCAAAAAACCUUCCAAGUUUAUGAACAAUAGGGUGAUCACAGUACAUUAAGACCGAUAGAUCUGACCACACAAAAUUUAUAAACUUUCACACAUUCCCUCCAAAUAUACACGUAAAGAAUUAAAAAAAAAAAAAAAAAUGGGAAAAACCUGAAAUUCUU